rnacentral:rRNA from 1 species
UGGGGAAUAUUGCACAAUGGGCGCAAGCCUGAUGCAGCCAUGCCGCGUGUGUGAAGAAGGCCUUCGGGUUGUAAAGCACUUUCAGCGAGGAGGAAGGGUGGUGUGUUAAUAGCACAUUGCAUUGACGUUACUCGCAGAAGAAGCACCGGCUAACUCCGUGCCAGCAGCCGCGGUAAUACGGAUGGUGCAAGCGUUAAUCGGAAUUACUGGGCGUAAAGCGCACGCAGGCGGUUUGUUAAGUCAGAUGUGAAAUCCCCGCGCUUAACGUGGGAACUGCAUUUGAAACUGGCAAGCUAGAGUCUUGUAGAGGGGGGUAGAAUUCCAGGUGUAGCGGUGAAAUGCGUAGAGAUCUGGAGGAAUACCGGUGGCGAAGGCGGCCCCCUGGACAAAGACUGACGCUCAGGUGCGAAAGCGUGGGGAGCAAACA